CAGCCGCCUAAGGUGGGACAGAUGAUUGGGGUGAAGUCGUAACAAGGUAGCCGUAUCGGAAGGUGCGGCUGGAUCACCUCCUUU
rnacentral:rRNA from 1 species